CAGACUGCCUGUGGGUGGCCUCCCAAUGUCCUUUUUUCCUUCUGCUUUUCCAUGUGGGCUCAUAAUUACCCAGCUAAAUUACUGAAUUUCCCAGCUUCCCUUUGCAGUAAUGUGCAGUCAGAAGACUAAGUUCCACAUCAACAGUGCUUAAUUUAGCGGAACACUGGAAUGAUCUCAUAGCUGAACACUGGAAUCAUCUCGCCAGCAUUAAAAAUUACUGAUGCCUGCCUGGGUCCUACGUACAGAGACUCUGAUUCAAUGGGUCUGGGAAGUGGCCCUGGCAUUGGGAUUUUUUUAAGUUCCUUCAGUGUAUCUGGUACGUUGCAAAGAUUGAGAACAACUCUUCUACAUGAAAUACUAUAAGUUCUACAAGGACAAGAAUUUUGUCUGCUUUGUCCAGUGAGCCUGAACCAGUGCCUGGCACAUAGGAGAUAAUAAAUCAAUAUCUAUCUAAUUAGUUGUUAUCAGAAGGAUUUUUCAUCUGAAAUGGGCAUUCUCAUCUUUCACUGAAAGUUAAACUGUCUUCCAAGGAAGAGAUGAAGAAACAAAUUCUCAGCUACUUUGGCAUAUCUGCAAAAGCCUGAAAGCUCUGUCAAAUAUUCAGCACAAUAAUUCUGCAACACUUCAGAUGGUCACCUAAACCUGCCAAUAGAUCUGCUUUGACCAGCUACUCAGGUUGAGCAGAAACUUUUAACUCUCAACCUCCAAGAUAAUAAAUGUUAAUGAGAUGAUAAUUUACUCCCUUGAAUUGUCAUUUAAAACAUUCUUUGAUCCUCUUCCCUUCAUGGGGGAGGGGGGAACCACAUCCCCUUUUUUUGAAUCUGGGUAGGUUUACAGUCCAACAGAGUACAACAGAGAUGAUGCUGUGAGACAUCUGAGGCUAUUAUAAAGACCAUGUGACUUCUUUAUUGUUCACUGUAGCGCUUGUUCUUGAAACCCUGAGCUGCCAUAUAAGAAAUUCUACUAGCCAGAGGCCUCCAUACUGGAAGGCCAUGUAUAGAUGUGCCUGUUCACAGUCCCACUGGAGUGUACCUUCCAGCUUUCCUCAGGAAAGAAACAGAAACUAGAAGAACCCUUCUUGGACCUUACAGAUUGAACAUCUGCCAGUUGAAUACCAAUAAACAACCUUUGUCAACAAUACAUGGAACAGAAGAAUCACCUAUGCAAGCCCCACUCAAGUUCUUUACCCAUAAAGUCAUGAUAUAAUGAUACGGUUAUUGUAAACCCUACAACGUGCUUACAAGUGUUUGUUGCCUGAAACAGACAAGUGAAACAACAACUCUGCAAAUACAAUUAAAUUAUCAGUAAUUCCAUAAUCUUAUAAUUAUAGUUUCUUAGUAAAAAUAUUAUUUUCUUUAUGAAUAUGUAAAUUGACUAAGUGAGUUUCCUAAUGUGAAAGAGUCUAAAAGGGAAUCUCAACAUGCUGACUGGUAUUUUAUGAGUCUACAUUUGAGGAAUGUCUGUCCAUUGCCAAUACAACUUUUUAAUAUGACAUGAAGUGGUGGGAAGACGAUGGACUACAAGUCUGGGUUCUGGUCUUACUUCUGCCACUUUGUAG
rnacentral:lncRNA from 1 species